CCUGCCCACUGAAAUUUGAAGGGCCGCAGUAUUUUGACUGUGCUAAGGUAGCAUAAUCAUUUGUUUUUUAAUUGAAAACUGGAAUGAAGGGUUUGAUGAGAUAUAAGCUGUCUCUAUAUGAAUAAUAUAAAAAUUUAAAUUUUAAGUUAAAAUGCUUAAAUAAUUAUAAAAGACGAGAAGACCCUAUAGAUCUUUAUAUUUAAAAUUAAUUUAUAAUUUAUAAAAAUAUUAAAGUUAAUGGAAAUUAUUUAAUUGGGGUGAUUUAAAAAUUAAAUAAACUUUUUAAUAAAAUAAACUUUAUAUAAGAAUUUUUGAUCCAGUUUUAUUGAUUAAUAGAUUAAGUUACCUUAGGGAUAACAGCGUAAUUUUUUUAGAGAGUUCAUAUCGAUAAAAAAGAUUGCGACCUCGAUGUUGAAUUAAAGUUUGUCUUAGGAGUAGAAAAUUAAGAUUUUAGUCUGUUCGACUAUUUUACUUUACAUGAUCUGAG
rnacentral:rRNA from 1 species